GGCUGUCCACUGUCCCAAGCCCUCGCAUGUCCUGGAUGGCCGGUCAUCAUCCACACGGGGGCUGAAAGGCCCGGCUCCAGCACUCCUGUGGUCAUCAUCCUGCUGAAUCGCUUUGAACUACCCUUGGCCUAACCGCGACUCCCAUCCCGCUUCCCUCCUGCCUCGCCACUGCAGGCCUGUCCCUUUGCUUUCUUAAAACUGCGCACCGUCUGAGGCCACUUCGAGCCUACUGGAUCCCUGGUUCCAACCCAGUAGGAUCACAGAAGCAGGGCCAGCUGCCAGGAGAAAAAGUUGUUCUCUUCUACCAAAUUUUCCUGCCAUCAAAUGCUCAUUGAGUGACAAUAGAGAAAGCACCAUCAUCCUGAAGCAUCAGAUUGGGAGAAAAGUCCGCUCUCGAGAGCAUCAACUAUGUAGAAAGGGGACCAGCUUCUGCAAAAGACUUGAGACAGCUCACAAUGAAGUACUCUGUAUUAGGCAGGGUAAUAUUGAUUGCAAGUGACAGAAACCCAAUCAGAAACUCACUGGAGUCAUGAGGAACACUUAUUGGCUCAGAGUAAAGGCAAAAUAGACCUUCAGAGAAAUAAAGUCUGGGAAAUUGACUAGAUCCUCACUGAAAGAACUACUAAAGGAUGUACUUAUGGAAGAAGAAAAUUACAAAGUGAAAGAACUGGGAUGCAAGAAGUAAUGGUGAGCAUGGAAUUUGGCAAAGAUUCAAGUAAAACAAAGCAAGGACUGAGUAUAUAAAAUCAUAAUCAUAACAAAUUUUGACUAUUAUAUGUAACAGCCAAUCUCUUAACUGGGUCAUAAUAAGAAAGUGAAAGGCAGAAAAAAUGACAAAAAGAAUAAUUAGAAUGUUAAUAAGAAGAGUAACAAGAUUUUGAAAAAUUUGUGCUGGUUGAUAUCAACUUUUGGCACUUUUCUCUUUUUCUAUACUGUUAACAUAAUUAAUGAAAAAAUAAUAAUUCAUACUUCAAAAAAUUUAAGAAGUUGCACAUAUUUUCAUUUGAAAUAGUAUAAGCAUUUUACAAAUGUUAUUUUAAGCUUUAAAAAGUGAGUAAAAUUAAUAACCAAAUGGUGGAAGCAACCCAAGUAUCCAUCAAUAGAUGAAUGAAUAAACGAAAGGUAGUAUGUUUAUACAAUGGAAUAUUAU
rnacentral:lncRNA from 1 species